UCCCUGAUAGUCUAGUGGUCAGGAUUCGGCGCUGUCACCGCUGAGACCUGAGUUUGAUUCCUGGGCAGGGAA